AGAGUUUGAUCCUGGCUCAGAGCGAACGUUAGCGGCGCGCCUAACACAUGCAAGUCGCACGAGAAAGGGCUUCGGCCCCGGUAGAGUGGCGCACGGGUGAGUAACACGUGGGUAACCUUCCCGACCGUGGUGGAUAACCUGCCGAAAGGCGGGCUAAUACAGCAUACGACCCUUGGUUUUCGGACUGGGGGUGAAAGCAG
rnacentral:rRNA from 1 species